CAUCAGCUAGUCUCAGGGUCCCUUCAUCUGACCCUCCCUUUUCUGCUGGAAGGUGGAACCUUCUACCAAAAUAAAGGAGAUGAGUCACCCAGGAAUGGACACAAGGACUCCAAGCUGGAAAAGCCGAGAUGUGUUCAGUGACAGAGAAAUCAAUGACUUGAGCAAGUAACAGAGAGCUGGAAGUAGGAAAGGAAAAGCUGCAAUAAAAUUGAGAGUUCGGGCACAGUC